GACAGAGGUCUCAAGCGUUAGGCGGAAUCACUGGGCUUAAAGCGUGUGUAGGCGGAUCGUUAAGUGCUUUGUGAAAUCCCACAGCUCAACUGUGGAACUGCUUGGCAUACUGGCGGUCUUGAGCCAUCUAGGGGUCGCUGGAACAAACGGUGGAGCGGUGAAAUGCGUAGAUAUCGUUUGGAACGCCAAUGGUGAAAACAGGUAGCUGGGAGUGUGCUGACGCUGAGACACGAAAGCCAGGGGAGCAAACGGG
rnacentral:rRNA from 1 species